rnacentral:rRNA from 1 species
GAUGAACGCUGGCGGCGUGCCUAAUACAUGCAAGUCGAACGGGGUGUUUGAGUAAUCGAACACUUAGUGGCGAACGGGUGAGUAACGCGUUGGUGACCUGCCCCAAAGCGGGGGAUAACAGCCUGAAAGGGUUGCUAAUACCGCAUAUGGUCUAGAGGGCUUAGAAGCUUUAGAUUAAAGGAGAAAUCCACUUUGGGAGGGGCCUGCGUCCCAUCAGCUAGUUGGUAGGGUAAAAGCCUACCAAGGCGAUGACGGGUAGGGGACCUGAGAGGGUGACCCCCCACAAUGGAACUGAAACACGGUCCAUACACCUACGGGUGGCAGCAGUAGGGAAUAUUGCACCAUGGGCGCAAGCCUGAUGCAGCAACGCCGCGUGAGUGAUGAAGGCCCUCGGGUCGUAAAACUCUUUUCAAGAGGAAGAGGAAGGACGGUACUCUUGGAAUAAGCCUCGGCUAACUACGUGCCAGCAGCCGCGGUAACACGUAGGAGGCGAGCGUUAUUCGGAUUUACUGGGCGUAAAGCGCGUGUAGGCGGCUUUAUAAGUUGGAUGUGAAAGCUCCCGGCUUAACUGGGAGAGGACGUUCAAAACUAUAGAGCUUGAGUACGAGAGAGGAAAAUGGAAUUCCGGGUGUAGUGGUGAAAUGCGUAGAUAUCCGGAGGAACACCAGUGGCGAAGGCGAUUUUCUGGCUCGAGACUGACGCUCAGACGCGAAAGCUAGGGUAGCAAACGGGAUUAGAGACCCCGGUAGUC